CUACGGGGGGCAGCAGUGGGGAAUAUUGCACAAUGGAGGAAACUCUGAUGCAGCGACGCCGCGUGAGUGAAGAAGUAUUUCGGUAUGUAAAGCUCUAUCAGCAGGGAAGAUAGUGACGGUACCUGACUAAGAAGCACCGGCUAAAUACGUGCCAGCAGCCGCGGUAAUACGUAUGGUGCAAGCGUUAUCCGGAUUUACUGGGUGUAAAGGGAGUGUAGGUGGUCUGACAAGUCAGAGGUGAAAGCCCGGGGCUCAACCCCGGGACUGCCUUUGAAACUGUCAGACUAGAGUGCAGGAGAGGUAAGUGGAAUUCCUAGUGUAGCGGUGAAAUGCGUAGAUAUUAGGAGGAACACCAGUGGCGAAGGCGGCUUACUGGACUGUAACUGACACUGAGGCUCGAAAGCGUGGGGAGCAAACAGGAUUAGAUACCCUCGUAGUC
rnacentral:rRNA from 1 species